CCUACGGGUGGCAGCAGUGGGGGAUAUUGCACAAUGGGGGAAACCCUGAUGCAGCGACGCCGCGUGGGUGAAGAAGCGCCUCGGCGCGUAAAGCCCUGUCAGCAGGGAAGAAAAUGACGGUAUCUGAAGACGAAGCCCCGGCUAACUACGUCCCAGCAGCCGCGGUAAUACGUAGGGGGCAAGCGUUAUCCGGAUUGACUGGGUGUAAAGGGGGCGCAGACGGCGAUGCAAGCCAGGAGUGAAAGCCCGGGGCCCAACCCCGGGACUGCUUGUGGAACGGCGUGGCCAGAGUGCAGGAGGGGCAGGCGGAAUUCCUGGUGUAGCGGUGAAAUGCGUAGAUAUCAGGAGGAACACCGGUGGCGAAGGCGGCCUGCUGGACUGCAACUGACGUUGAGGCCCGAAAGCGUGGGGAGCAAACAGGAUUAGAUACCCCUGUAGUC
rnacentral:rRNA from 1 species